CAGCGCUUCUGUCUGGUGGAUCGCGGAGCCUUGCCUCUCAGGACGACACAAGGGGCUGAGCACCACCUGUGGAGCUCAGAGGCUUAGGAUGUGCUUCAGGAAGGCUGCGCAAGAGGAGGCGAGAGGACUUCAGAAGCUGGCCGUCGGUUCUGGUCCCUGCCUCACCGAGAGUGGUAAGCACGUGUCUGAGCUCCGCUCCCAUGACUUUGCCGUUUCCCUCUUUGUCAAACACACGAAGCCCCUCUAGGUAGUCCUCAUAUGUGCCUUGGUCCCUGUUCUUGGCCACCGCCUGUAGCAUGGGCAGGAAGGUCUCAAAGUCUACACGUCGGGACUUCAGCUCUAGAGAUGGGAAAGGAGUUUUUGAAGUCCUGAGAUCCAGCCCAGCGUCCUCUCUCACCUUACCAAUAUUCUAUCAUUGAAAACGGAUACUGGGGGCUGGAGAGAUGUCUCAGUGGUUAAGAGCACUGCCUGCUCUUCCAGAGGACCCGGGUUCAAUUCCCAGCACCCACAUGGCAGCUCACGUCUGUCUGUAACUCUAAGAUCUGACACCCUCACACCAAUGCACAUAAAUUAAAAUUUAAAUAAAAUAUUUUAAAAACAGAAAAGAAAAAGUGAUACUGGCCUAGUGUGGUGGCGCACGCCUUUAAUCCC